rnacentral:lncRNA from 1 species
CUAAUUUCAAGACCAUCAGUGGUGCUUUCAUUCUGAUCUGGAAGCCAGAUGAGUGCUCAAAAAAAGAAAAAAAAAAUAUGUUAUCUGGUCUGGUUGCCAGCGUGGGUGUCCAAGCAGCCGUGCCAGCUCCCUGAUGGGAGUGCUGCGGAAUAUGGACUGCUGCUAAGAAAAUUCCUGGGAACCACGGUCGCACCUGUCACACCGCAGCACGCUGUCAGCAGCAGCCUGAGAACGUCCCUGCUCGGUGCCUCGGUCACCCACAGGAGCCAGCUGGCUGGCACAGAUAAGGCUGGAAGGAGAUUUCUCUAAUACUAUCAUUCAGCGAUCUGGGAUAAAUACUUCUUUAAUUCUGUUCUGAAGAAUUUGUACUCAAGAGUGCCAGGGAGGGAAACCUUUGGGUUAAACUCAAAAGGCCGAGUGCAUUAUCUGUCAGGAAGCACCUCUGUGCCAUCUGGGCAAUGAGGCAGACAGUGAUAAGGUGGCAUAGCUCUCCUCAUGUGCUUAGUGGGGGAAUACCUUAUCAGCGAAUAAAGUAGAAGCAUUUCACUCA